rnacentral:rRNA from 1 species
GGCCUGGCGGGAUGGUCCGCCUUACGGUGUGUACUGUCCGGCUGGGCCUUACCUCUUGGUGAGACCUCAUGCCUUUACGGGUGUGGGGUGGAACCAGGAAUUUUACCUUGAGAAAAUUAGAGUGUUCAAAGCAGGCAAACGCCCGAAUACAUUAGCAUGGAAUAAUAGAAUAGGACGUGC